rnacentral:rRNA from 1 species
AUUGAACGCUGGCGGCAGGCUUAACACAUGCAAGUCGAGCGGGGUGAUGGUGCUUGCACUAUCACUUAGCGGCGGACGGGUGAGUAAUGCUUAGGAAUCUGCCUAUUAGUGGGGGACAACAUCUCGAAAGGGAUGCUAAUACCGCAUACGUCCUACGGGAGAAAGCAGGGGAUCACUUGUGACCUUGCGCUAAUAGAUGAGCCUAAGUCGGAGUAGCUAGUUGGUGGGGUAAAGGCCUACCAAGGCGACGAUCUGUAGCGGGUCUGAGAGGAUGAGCCGCCACACUGGGACUGAGACACGGCCCAGACUCCUACGGGAGGCAGCAGUGGGGAAUAUGGGACAAUGGGGGGAACCCUGAUCCAGCCAUGCCGCGUGUGUGAAGAAGGCCUUAUGGUUGUAAAGCACUUUAAGCGAGGAGGAGGCUCUUUUGGUUAAUACCCAAGAUGAGUGGACGUUACUCGCAGAAUAAGCACCGGCUAGCUCUGUGCCAGCCGCCGCAGUAA